rnacentral:misc_RNA from 1 species
AAGUCGUAACAAGGUCUCCGUAGGUGAACCUGCGGAGGGAUCAUUACCGAGUGCGGGCCCCCGCGCCCAACCUCCCAACCCUUUGUCGAUUUUAUCCGUUGCCUCGGGGGCGACCCGGACGUCCGUCCGGGAGUCCCCCAGAGGUCCAACCCAACACGCUGCGUCUUUGCGUCGGAGUAUUGAAUACAAUCAAUCAAAACUUUCAACAACGGAUCUCUUGGUUCUG